rnacentral:rRNA from 1 species
GCUAUAAUGCAGUCGAACGCAAUCUUUGACUAAUGAGUGCUUGCACUCAGCGGUCAAAGUGCGAGUGGCGAACGGGUGAGUAACACGUGGGCAAUCUGCCCAAAAGUGGGGGAUAACACUUGGAAACAGGUGCUAAUACCGCAUCAACCGGCUGACCGCAUGGUCGGCCGGGCAAAGACGGCGUCAGCUGUCGCUUUUGGAUGAGCCCGCGGCGUAUUAACUAGUUGGUAAGGUAACGGCUUACCAAGGUGAUGAUACGUAGCCGAACUGAGAGGUUGAUCGGCCACAUUGGGACUGAGACACGGCCCAAACUCCUACGGGAGGCAGCAGUAGGGAAUCUUCCACAAUGGACGCAAGUCUGAUGGAGCAACGCCGCGUGUAUGAAGAAGGUCUUCGGAUCGUAAAAUACUGUUGUCAGAGAAGAACACGUGAUAGAGUAACUGCUAUGGCGCUGACGGUAUCUGACCAGCAAGUCACGGCUAACUACGUGCCAGCAGCCGCGGUAAUACGUAGGUGGCAAGCGUUGUCCGGAUUUAUUGGGCGUAAAGGGAACGCAGGCGGUCUUUUAAGUCUGAUGUGAAAGCCUUCGGCUUAACCGGAGAAGUGCAUUGGAAACUGGAAGACUUGAGUGCAGAAGAGGAGAGUGGAACUCCAUGUGUAGCGGUGAAAUGCGUAGAUAUAUGGAAGAACACCAGUGGCGAAAGCGGCUCUCUGGUCUGUAACUGACGCUGAGGUUCGA